UACGUAGGGAGCAAGCGUUGUCCGGAAUCAUUGGGCGUAAAGCGCGCGUAGGCGGCCCUGUAAGUCCGUUGUGAAAGUCAAAGGCUCAACCUUUGAAAGCCGAUGGAUACUGCAGGGCUAGAGUCCGGAAGAGGCGAGUGGAAUUCCUGGUGUAGCGGUGGAAUGCGCAGAUAUCAGGAGGAACACCAAUAGCGAAGGCAGCUCGCUGGGACGGUACUGACGCUAAGGCGCGAAAGCGUGGGGAGCAAACA
rnacentral:rRNA from 1 species